GAUGAAGAACGCAGCGAAAUGCGAUAAGGAGUGUGAAUUGCAGAAUUCCGUGAAUCAUCGAAUCUUUGAACGCACAUUGCGCCUUCUGGUAUUCCGGAAGGCAUGCCUGUUCGAGAGUCAUUAACAACCGUUUCGAUCCCUUUCUUUCAGAAAUUACAAAGAGGAAAAGGGUUUGGUUAUGGUGGAGGAGGGAAAGGGAGCGUUUAGCCUGUAAAAAAAGAGGCUGUGUUCCGCCUCCCCCCCAAAAUUGUACAGGCGGUCGUGUGCGCCCACGCAUCGAGGUGUUGUAAAAGCUGCCACGGCACUUUUCACCUGUGCAGUGCGAGAUUGGCCAGCCGGUUUAAAAACCCCUCCAAACAAUCAAAGGUUGACCUCGGAUCAGGUAGGGAUACCCGCUGAACUUAAGCAUAUCAAUAAGCGGAGGA
rnacentral:misc_RNA from 1 species